rnacentral:rRNA from 1 species
GCCUACGGGGCGCAGCAGUGAGGAAUAUUGGUCAAUGGGAGAGAUCCUGAACCAGCCAAGCCGCGUGAGGGAAGACGGCCCUAUGGGUUGUAAACCUCUUUUGUCGGAGAACAAAACCCGGGACGAGUCCCGGACUGCGUGUAUCCGAAGAAAAAGCAUCGGCUAACUCCGUGCCAGCAGCCGCGGUAAUACGGAGGAUGCGAGCGUUAUCCGGAUUUACUGGGUGUAAAGGGCGUGUAGGCGGGCCUGCAAGUCAGAAGUGAAAUCUGGGGGCUUAACCCCCAAACUGCUUUUGAAACUGUGGG